UAGACCCGAAGCGGAGUGAUCUAGCCAUGGGCAGGUUGAAGCGGCUGUAAGAGGUCGUGGAGGACCGAACCCACCAGGGUUGAAAACCUGGGGGAUGACCUGUGGUUAGGGGUGAAAGGCCAAUCAAACUCCGUGAUAGCUGGUUCUCCCCGAAAUGCAUUUAGGUGCAGCGUCGUGUGUUUCUUGCCGGAGGUAGAGCACUGGAUAGGCGAUGGGCCCUACCGGGUUACUGACCUUAGCCAAACUCCGAAUGCCGGUAAGUGAGAGCGCGGCAGUGAGACUGUGGGGGAUAAGCUCCAUGGUCGAGAGGGAAACAGCCCAGAGCAUCGACUAAGGCCCCUAAGCGUACGCUAAGUGGGAAAGGAUGUGGAGUCGCAGAGACAACCAGGAGGUUGGCUUAGAAGCAGCCACCCUUGAAAGAGUGCGUAAUAGCUCACUGGUCUAGUGAUUCCGCGCCGACAAUGUAGCGGGGCUCAAGCGUACCGCCGAAGUCGUGUCAUUGCAGCAAUACUCCCAACGGAGGCUGUGAUGGGUAGGGGAGCGUCGUGUG
rnacentral:rRNA from 1 species